AGCGAACGCUGGCGGCGUACUUAACACAUGCAAGUCGAACGAGGAUCAUCGGGUUAGCAAUAAUUCGGUGGUCCUAGUGGCGCACGGGUGAGUAACACGUGGGUGACCUGCCCUUGAGCUCGGGAUACCCCCUCGAAAGGGGGGCUAAUACCGGAUACGUUCCUCGGUCGAAAGACUGAGGAGGAAAGGUGGCGCAAGCUGCCGCUCUUGGAGGGGCUCGCGGCCUAUCAGCUAGUUGGCGGGGUAACGGCCCACCAAGGCUAUGACGGGUAGCUGGUCUGAGAGGACGACCAGCCACACUGGAACUGAGACACGGUCCAGACUCCUACGGGAGGCAGCAGUGGGGAAUUUUGGACAAUGGGCGAAAGCCUGAUCCAGCCAUGCCGCGUGAGUGAAGAAGG
rnacentral:rRNA from 1 species